GGUUAUUGCCAGGGUUUUUAUUUUAUACUUUAAGCUUUCAAUUUAUUUUUUAUGUUUUUUAAAUAUUCAAAAAAAUGAAUAUUUAAAAAACAUAAAAAAUAAAUUAGAUAUUGACAUAGAUUAAACAAAAAUAUAUAUUAUUCUAUGUUGCAUAAACAAAUUGGCAAAGUAGAGACGGAAGAUAAAAAUAUGGUCAAAGUAAUA
rnacentral:misc_RNA from 1 species